rnacentral:rRNA from 1 species
UAGGGAAUCUUCCACAAUGGACGCAAGUCUGAUGGAGCAACGCCGCGUGAGUGAAGAAGGUUUUCGGAUCGUAAAGCUCUGUUGUUGGUGAAGAAGGAUAGAGGUAGUAACUGGCCUUUAUCUGACGGUAAUCAACCAGAAAGUCACGGCUAACUACGUG